UUCCUACGGGUGGCUGCAGUGGGGAAUAUUGGACAAUGGGCGCAAGCCUGAUCCAGCCAUGCCGCGUGAGUGAUGAAGGUCUUAGGAUUGUAAAGCUCUUUCACCGGAGAAGAUAAUGACGGUAUCCGGAGAAGAAGCCCCGGCUAACUUCGUGCCAGCAGCCGCGGUAAUACGAAGGGGGCUAGCGUUGUUCGGAAUUACUGGGCGUAAAGCGCACGUAGGCGGAUAUUUAAGUCAGGGGUGAAAUCCCAGAGCUCAACUCUGGAACUGCCUUUGAUACUGGGUAUCUAGAGUAUGGAAGAGGUGAGUGGAAUUCCGAGUGUAGAGGUGAAAUUCGUAGAUAUUCGGAGGAACACCAGUGGCGAAGGCGGCUCACUGGUCCAUUACUGACGCUGAGGUGCGAAAGCGUGGGGAGCAAACAGGAUUAGAUACCCGAGUAGUCCCC
rnacentral:rRNA from 1 species